rnacentral:rRNA from 1 species
UACGUAGGGUGCGAGCGUUGUCCGGAAUUAUUGGGCGUAAAGAGCUCGUAGGCGGUGUGUCGCGUCUGCUGUGAAAUUUCGGGGCUCAACCCCGAACUUGCAGUGGGUACGGGCAGACUAGAGUGUGGUAGGGGAGACUGGAAUUCCUGGUGUAGCGGUGAAAUGCGCAGAUAUCAGGAGGAACACCGGUGGCGAAGGCGGGUCUCUGGGCCGAUACUGACGCUGAGGAGCGAAAGCGUGGGGAGCGAACAGG